rnacentral:rRNA from 1 species
GAUGAACGCUAGCGGCAGGCUUAAUACAUGCAAGGCGAAGGGGCAGCAAUGUCACUGUCGUACGGGUGCGUAACGCGUAUGCAACCUACCUAUCACUGGGGGAUAGCCCGGGGAAACCCGGAUUAAUACCGCAUAAAACAGGGGCACCGCAUGGUGAUAUUUGUUAAAGAUUUAUUGGUGAUAGAUGGGCAUGCGUUCGAUUAGCUAGUUGGCGAGGUAACGGCCCACCAAGGCGACGAUCGAUAGGGGAGCUGAGAGGUUGAUCCCCCACACGGGCACUGAGAUACGGGCCCGACUCCUACGGGAGGCAGCAGUAGGGAAUGUUGGGCAAUGGAUGCAAGUCUGACCCAGCCAUGCCGCGUGCCGGAUGAAGGCCCUCAGGGUUGUAAACGGCUUUUAUUCGGGAAGAAGAGCAGGGAUGCGUCCUUGUGUGACGGUACCGAAUGAAUAAGCACCGGCUAACUCCGUGCCAGCCGCCGCCGUAA